GACGAACGCUGGCGGCGUGCUUAACACAUGCAAGUCGAACGGAAAGGCCCUGCUUUUGUUGGGUGCUCGAGUGGCGAACGGGUGAGUAACACGUGAGUAACCUGCCCUUGACUUUGGGAUAACUUCAGGAAACUGGGGCUAAUACCGGAUAUGAGCUCCUGCUGCAUGGUGGGGGUUGGAAAGUUUCGGCGGUUGGGGAUGGACUCGCGGCUUAUCAGCUUGUUGGUGGGGUAGUGGCUUACCAAGGCUUUGACGGGUAGCCGGCCUGAGAGGGUGACCGGCCACAGUGGGACUGAGAUACGGCGCAGAAGGCUACGGGAGGCAGCAGUGGGGAAUAUUGCACAAUGGGCGGAAGCCUGAGGCAGCAACGCCGCGUGCGGGAUGACGGCCUUCGGGGUGUAAACAGAUGUCGAAUGUGACGAAGCGUGAGUGACGGUAAUGGGUAAAGAAGCACCGGCUAACUACGUG
rnacentral:rRNA from 1 species